GGAGUGUAUAUUCCAACACUCCUCGCUCCACAAUUUCUUUUCUUUAUCUUUGGAAAUUUACUUGCGAUGGAUCGUCUUCAGCAGGAAAUUGACGAGAUGUCCAUUUUAAGAAUCUUACUUGAUUGCUUUAUUCAGUUUUUGCUGAUAUCGUUGGUGGAUCUUGCGCUAAUUAUUCUUCAAUGGGAGAUGUGUUUGCUAGGGCUAUGGUUGAUUGUAUUGGCUAUCCACCGAUUUGUCUCAAACGCAUUUUCUAUGAUUAUGGAUUGUCACCUAGUUUAUUGAUGGACCAAUCUAUUGGUGCAUCAUCUAGUUUUUGAAUGAGUCCAGAAACAGGACGUCUAGUGUCUAAGUCCCUACCGUAGUCGGCAUCAACAUAACUCACUAAUGUGAGUUUAUUUCUGUGUGGAAACAAUAUUCCAACGUUGUCUAUCCCUCGAAGACGGAUGCUGGAGCUUUUAGGUGUGCGGAUUGAGUUACAAUGAGCCAUCUGGCUCUUUCAAAUAUUGUCCUGUUUUGCCGUUCCGCGAUCCCGUUCUGUUUAGGAGUAUGUGGUUGAGAUAAUUGCCUCCCGAUUCAGAUUACAGAAUUCUUGGAAUUCACGAGACAUGAAUUCCCCCCCCACUUAGUCCCAUUUCUGUUUCUACUAGUGCUUUAAAGUUUUGAAUGUGGAUAGUGUCUCGGAUUUUGCUUGCAUGAACAAGACCUAGGAUCUUCUUGAGUAAUCGUUUGAAACCAGCAGGUUGUUUCUAGAUCCAAGCCACAAAGGAGUCGGCAUUGGACCUACAGAGUCUGCUUGUAGGAGUUGUAGAAUUCUCGAGGUUGGAGUGAGGGAUUUCUUUGGGAACCUUUCACGGUGUUUAUCUUCCAGCCAAACACUGUGCACAUACGGUUUUGAUCUGGUUGAGUAUUAUCAUACUUGUUACUUUGUUGUGACGUGAUAAAUAGUUGAGGCUGUUAUAGUUUAGAUGCCCGAAUCUUUGAUGCCAUAGUUUGAUUAAUUUUGAGUCGCUACUUGGUGUUGUGUUACUUGAUACAAAUUCAGUUGCUUGUUUGAUUGUGUAAGGAGAAUGUAGAUCUUGUAUAAUCCAUUUUUUUUUUUUUUUAUCACUAUGUCCAGCCAAGGUGAGUUUGUUCCUUUGAUUCACAAUCCAACAUUGCUUGUUAGAGAAAGCUACUACUUUUUCAUUUUUUGUUAGACAUCCUAUAGAAAUCAGAUUCUUUUUGAGGUUGAGCACGUAAAGAACCUCAUUGAGCUUUAUUUCUCCUUCUGUAGUACAUAGAGUGACACUGCCAGUGCCUUCUAUUAUGUGUUUCUCGCCACUUGCUUUAAUAACAGUUCCAUGAUUUUCUAAUGUG